GGGCAUCCAUCAUGGGUGGACCAAGCCGAGCCCUAGAAAAUAUCUGGGCUGGCUCCUCUCCUUCCUCUCUCCCUCCGCGCCGCCUCCUCUCCUCUUCGUGCGCGGCGGCGUCUCGUCAUCCCCAGCCCCCACCUCCCAACCCCUUGCUCCCGCACGAACCCUAUCAGAGAGAGAGAAGAUGAGAGGGAGAGAGAAGGAAGGAGAGGAGAGGCGGGAGAAAGAGAGAGGAAAGAGGAGAGGGAGGUGUGGCAGCUGACAGGAGAGGGUCACUGGCCAGCGUCGGCCUGCGCUGGCGAGGUCGGGCACGACCUGGCGGUUGGCGGCGGCUCGACCCGUUCCUAAAUCAGGAGCUGCGAGGAGGCCGGGGCUGGGGCGCGAUGCACGGGAGGCUCCACCCCGCCUCCAUCUCUACGCGUGCAGCGGCGACCCCGGAGGAGCUCGAGCCACAUCCGUGGUCCACGUCGCCGUCGUCGGCAGGAGGAGCGUGGGUCGCAGAGAUGGCCGGCUCAGUCCGGCUUUCGCGCUGCCGUCCAUCCACCCGAGACACCAGUCCCCGCGUCCUCGCGUACAUCCUCUCUCGCUGUCACACACACUCUCUCUUCCGUCCUCUCACGCACGUCCUCGUGGCCGGAUAUUUGGUAAUUUCUUUUCUGAGCAUAAAUAGAUAUUGUGCCCCCACCUGUUUGUUGUUUUGCCCAGCUGAAAGGUGGAUCAAAUAUGAAAUACGUGAACGUUCCAUAGUGUGAAAAGCAAGCCAUGGUCUUGUUAAAGUUCCGUUGAAUUUCUGUGAUACCUAAGAAGUAUUAAUGCUCAUAUUUUUGCAAUUUGCUCUCCACAACUUUCAGUCACUGGUUCUUGAGGAAAGCAGGUAAUGCAUUUUGUUUGUGUCAACUAUACUGAAUAUGCAAAGCCUUUUUUAUCUUCAGAGAAAUUCACACUCUGCAUUAGUUGCAAAAGAUGUUGAUUUUGAUCUUAACAAUUGCAGGGAACUAUGAGACUUGCACAGUUUGGGCAGCGUCAGCACAACAUGCAGAGUUUCUGUUCAAGUAGUAGCAGACCAGCAAAGCACGGACGAGGAGAUCCAGGUCACGGGCCAUCCCCAUUUAGGUAUGAAUAUCGUUGCAAUUAGCAAGCAACCCUGAUGGAAGAAGCUAGCUACAUGCCUAGAUUGAUGCGUUCCGAUCUAUGUCAAUUAUAAGCUCCACAAGAAAAUAGCAAACUUUUGUAUCGACCGGGCGCAUCAGUGACUUGACGGGGAUAGCAAGACACAUAGAAGAAUAUAAAGCAUCAAGGUAGCAACUCAUUGGUUUUUGCUCCGAGCUGAUGCAUACUACUUUGCUUGCAGCCAUCGUCAACCAUUGUUGCUGGUAUCAUCACUUUUUUAGAACCAAAGAAAUAUUGCUUUUCAACUCAGAUGUGUGUUAGGUGAUGUUGCAUGCCAUUUUUGUUCAUCGACCUGACAUGAUUUGGAUUGGUGCAGAGGUCGGUGUGAAUGAAAAGCUAGCUUCUGAAGACGCAGUCGAUUAUUAUUGCCUAUUUUUCUAUUGAAAGGUGUUGCUUCUUUUAUCUUGACAGUCGACGUCUGCUGGACCUGCCAGUUCUCAGGUGGAAGGUGGUGACCAGCAGCGCGCACGUGGACAAUGAUUGGGAUGGUGCUAUUACCCGUGCACAGGACUGCCUAAUGUCUAUUCUGGGAAUGGUUAUUUCCCUGCUCUUGCAGACAAAUCACCUGAUUUGAACUGUGUACGAGAUAAAGUUAUGCAAGCUUCUGCGUGCUCGGAGUCCCCGCUCUCAUGUUGUUGGAGCAGUGACAUACAUGUGGCGGCUAUCCUCAAUAGGGAGUAGCAAAUUGGAGGCCAAAGAAGAAAAUUUGUUCAAUUCUGAAACUAAAUUUAGUGAAGGAGGCCGAAGUUCAUUACAACGCCAAUAUGGAUCCAUCCUAUUGCGUUGGGUGAAGGUCUAGAUGCAAUAAAAAUUGCACGUAGCAAACAUGUGCUUCCUCUAUAUCUGUACAAUCAGAGUUCUCGCUUUUCUUUGUGUGAUCUUUGUUUAUCCUUUUUGUUGUUUUUAUGUUGCCUACAUUCAGUCGACUUCAAGUUAACCUGUCCAUUUAUUUUUAUUCAGAUAGUUCAGAUGUCUAACAUUUAUAGCAUACACAUCAGUCUAGGGUUAACAAUAGUAGAAUAAAUCUUUCCAUAUAUCAUGAUUCAUAUGCGAGUCUCCCCGUCUGAGUAUAACCAUGAGUUGACAUGCUAUUAUUAACAAGAAGAUAUAAAUCAAUUUUGUUGUUUCAUCGUUGAAAGAUCAUUAGUAAUUUAUCAGAGUCUAUUCUGUCGUUUCAUGAUUUUAACAUAAAGUUAGUAGUUUGCCAGUUCUUAAAUUCUACCGAGGGACACCCAUCUACUUAAUAAGAGUAUCUUGACACUCCACAUUAUCUGAAAGGAAAAGCUUAUCAGCUGUUAAUUUGCUUAAUUUAUCUUAUGCAAGUCAGGGCUUACUUAUUUAUGACAAUUAUAAAAAACAAUUUUCUUACAUGUAGUAACAAUAACCUUACUCUUUUAUCACCAUUCAAUGUGUGGCCUCACACUGCAGAUGCAAGAUUCCGGUGUUCUGAAGUCAUGGGAUGCAACGCUAUGCAAUCUCUUAACAGUAUAUUGCACCCAGUUAGCAAAAUGAUCUACAUUCGGAACAAACUCUUGGAGACAGUAGAUAAAUGCAAAUGUCCCUCAGCACCAGAGGCGAUCCUUUCUAUGGAGAAACACCAUAUACGUACAUAAUUUUGUGCCUGGAUUCUGGAAACGACCAAGGAUAAGCAACUCAAGUGAAAGACUGCCUUGGGAUGAUACAAUCAAUCCAACUGUUACCUUUAGGAUGCUUUUUGGAUGGACUAAUCUGAAGAUGCUGGCUAGCUUACACCGCCAUCAUACAGUCUAGAAGUACAGGGAAAAUAAAGGUGCAAUGAGCCCAAUAUAUUUUACUUUUUGGCAAAGUUUUGGUGCUUGCCCAAGAAAGUAACACCUAUUAAACCUACUAAUCCUUUUUCCCAGGCAAUUCGCCAUCUGGAGAAAUACCAACUAAUACAUUUUUGUACUUUCUUUGUUGCAGAGGCAAAAAUACUACUGCUUUUUGAAAGCUUUUUUGUUGCAUGUUCCCCUUUCUUAAUCUUCUAUUUGUUCAAAUGUACAUACCUGAGCUUAUAAUCAUUAUUACACAAUGAAUCUCACCAUUCUAUUGUUUUCCUGAAAAUUUAUACUCACAUAGUUCUAUUUUCUUAUUAGUGAUCUUCUGUUUGGCCUUCAUUUGGUGUGCAUAUAGCAUGGGAUAUUAUAGGCAUAUUUUUUCUCUCUAUUUGUUCAUGCACUAAUGCAUAAAUCUUUUGGUUAUGCUCUUAUUAUUUAGUCUAGAGCUAUGCAAUAACAACCAUGGCUUUAGUGUUCUGGUGAAUGCCAUAUAGAGUGAAGAACCCUUGGCAUCUUAUCUAAAUUCUUUAAUCCUAUUAUGCAUGCCCAGAUUAAAGGUAUAAAUACCUUAUAUCGGUAUCUUAUUUAGCCUCUUCUGACUAUUGACUGUUUGAACUGUUGUAGUAGGACUCAAGCUUUCAAAGUUAUUAGGCAUGUGGACAUGUUUUUGUUUUAGUUUGUACAGUUUUGUGUUCUUUUGGCUUCAGGUUGCUCUUGUAGAGAAAACAUAGUAAACUCAGAUGAUUGGAUUAGAAAAUACUCUUCAGCAUCUGAAACAUCUAAAGGCGGUCACUCAACUAAGUAUCUUAUACAAUAUACCCAGCUGGAUGAUUGGAGUAGUACCAGCCGCUAUGUAUCACUCAGAUGAUUAGUGCUCCUGCGUUGAACCACUCAGCUAAGUAUCAACACUGCCCUCGAGACUUGGCUAUUAGCAUAGUAGCAACGAGCUCACAAAAAAAAUCUACAGAUUCAUCAAACACCAAGGAGAUAGUUCUUACCUGAGCGGCAAUAGCGGCUACCAUAGUCUUCCUGGAGCAUCCCUUCCCAUGAAAAGUUACCGGCUUCAGGGAGUGCCAGCACAGCCAAAUCACCGGUACGAGCAACAGCGGCACCAUUUGCCGGUUCUGCGGCUCCAAGCUACAGCAGUAGCCGCCGUGCCACCAAGAAGCAGAUGGAGCCGCAACACCUGCGGCCAAGCUGCAGCGUCAGCCACCAAGAUGGAGCCCAAAGUGUCGCCGUCCGCCUCCACCAGGUGCUUUCUCACUUAGGUACGAGUAGAAUGGGGAAAGGAACGGGAUGAGGACGAUGAACUGAUGGUGGAUGGAACAAGACCAACAGUCGACCACGUGGUGACCUGUUGUGUUACAUGUGUGACGCAUGUGUAUAAGUGUCCAUACUGUGGGGUUCUUUGUCCCAAUGGCACAAUUGUAAUUUUGUUUUUCUUGCUAAUUUGUACUACAUGUACUGUCAUGAGCUACACCGUUUCAUGCAAUCUACUCCUACUUAUCUUAAACUUC